UCAGACGCUCGUGCCCCUGGAUCACA
rnacentral:piRNA from 1 species